AAUUUUAAAUUAACGAUUUUUUGAUUCCCAAAUAUCUAACUUACCAAUUAAUUCUUUACAACGUCUUUGAUAAAUAAGAUAGCAGUCGUUGACAUUUUCCUAGAAUUUUAAGCUGGAGUACGGUAGGGGCAGAGGGAAUUUCCGGUGGAGCGGUGAAAUGCGUAGAGAUCGAAAGAACACCAACGGCGAAAGCACUCUGCUGGGCCGACACUGACACUGAGAGACGAAAGCUAGGGGAGCGAAUGGGAUUAGAUACCCCAGUAGUCCUAGCCGUAAACGAUGGAUACUAGGCGCUGUGCGUAUCGACCCGUGCAGCGCUGUAGCUAACGCGUUAAGUAUCCCGCCUGGGGAGUACGUUCGCAAGAAUGAAACUCAAAGGAAUUGACGGGGGCCCCGUAGACCUCUCUGAGAUAAAUAGUCUUUUUU
rnacentral:ncRNA from 1 species